rnacentral:rRNA from 1 species
UACGAAGGGUGCAAACGUUGCUCGGAAUUAUUGGGCGUAAAGCGCACGUAGGCGGCUUGGCAAGUCGGAUGUGAAAUCCCUCGGCUCAACCAAGGAAGUGCAUCCAAAACUGUGGGGCUUGAGUACUGAAGAGGAUCGCGGAAUUCCCGGUGUAGAGGUGAAAUUCGUAGAUAUCGGGAGGAACACCAGUGGCGAAGGCGGCGAUCUGGGCAGAUACUGACGCUGAGGUGCGAAAGCGUGGGGAGCAAACAGG